rnacentral:rRNA from 1 species
GAUGAACGCUGGCGGCGUGCCUAAUACAUGCGAGUCGAGCGAACAGACGAGGAGCUUGCUCCUUUGACGUUAGCGGCGGACGGGUGAGUAACACGUGGAUAACCUACCUAUAAGACUGGGAUAACUUCGGGAAACCGGAGCUAAUACCGGAUAACAUGUUGAACCGCAUGGUUCAACAGUGGAAGACGGUCUUGCUGUCACUUAUAGAUGGAUCCGCGCCGCAUUAGCUAGUUGGUAAGGUAACGGCUUACCAAGGCAACGAUGCGUAGCCGACCUGAGAGGGUGAUCGGCCACACUGGAACUGAGACACGGUCCAGACUCCUACGGGAGGCAGCAGUAGGGAAUCUUCCGCAAUGGGCGAAAGCCUGACGGAGCAACGCCGCGUGAGUGAAGAAGGUCUUCGGAUCGUAAAACUCUGUUAUUAGGGAAGAACAAAUGUGUAAGUAACUAUGCACGUCUUGACGGUACCUAAUCAGAAAGCCACGGCUAACUACGUG